rnacentral:rRNA from 1 species
UACGAAGGGGGCGAGCGUUGUUCGGAUUUACUGGGCGUAAAGCGUGCGCAGGCGGUUUUGUAAGCCAGAUGUGAAAGCCCCGGGCUUAACCUGGGAAUGGCAUUUGGGACUGCAAGGCUUGAGUGCGGCAGAGGAGACUGGAAUUCCUGGUGUAGCAGUGAAAUGCGUAGAUAUCAGGAGGAAUACCGAUGGCGAAGGCAGGUCUCUGGGCUGACACUGACGCUCAUGCACGAAAGCGUGGGGAGCAAACAGG